GUUUUGAAGCCUCAUAUCUGUACAGAGUCCAAAGGUAUUUCCUAUCACACAUUCUUCGAUGUAAUCUUCAACCGAAAAAUCAGGGUAUAGAGAUUGGUUUUGCAAACCAUUGUUUUAAAUUCAGCAAUCAAAAUCUCAAAUCAGUUUCAGACCUAGCUCUGGAUAAGCACACACUUAACACACAAACAAACGCCAAAAUACAGACGAUUUCCUCUUAGCAACCAAUCUAGAUCCAGCAUUGGGCAAAGAUAGUGCUCCGGGAACGACAUGGUUGAAGUCUCAUGUUUCCACUUUUGCAAGCUCUGUACCGAACUCCAUGAAAGAUGAUUCAAUUACCAAAACUCCUCGUGGAAUGGCUUGCAUUAGAAUCUCCAUGAGCUUGAAAUCAUUUGCACAACCACGAGUUUACUGAGUGACAUGCACUUUUUUGGCAAAAGGGUUGUUGCAUUCGAGAAAUGUGGAGUGUGGGUUGGAGCUCGUACAAACUGAGAUGGGUGAAGAAGCCUCGUUCAUGUAGGGGGGAGUGUGGGUGUUGAAGGUGACGUAGUGAAGGCGAUGAACACUGGAUUUGCUGCAGUUUUUAUGAGGAAAGAUUGUGUUUUGACGCAACUUAUCAGGGUCUCUCUUAGACCUUGUUGCCACCUUUAGAGCGUGGUUGUGCUCAUCCAAGGUCAUUGCAAUGCAGUUGGGGAUUUAGUUCCAUUUUUUUGGUGUCUUUGGCGAACGUCGAGCAUGAGCACUCACUUUCAAAGCUAUGGUGGAUUAAUGGCGUGGUUCUAGUCGGAGAUUGCGAAGAAUUGGAGAUUAAAGGCUUUUAGAAGGUGGAUUGUUGAGGGUGGAUGUUUUCGGUGGCUAGCGAGUGAUUUUUCGCAACGAGAAUUCUGCAAGCCCCCCAAAAUCUCUCCGUGCUUACAAGGGUUGUCUAGAAUCCUCUUCUGGUUGUGUAGUUGUCUUUCAACGCAUCGCAUGCGCGCCUUACAGCAAAGAAACUGAAUACUUCCUCGAGCAUUAUCUCUCGCCCAGGUGAUUUACCGGAAUGUGGUGAAACUCUUGGAGGGUGGCGCCAUGAGGAUGGUUUCUUGUAAAUUAAUUACAACUACAUGCUCAAUGGAGCACUGAAUGGGCAGCUCCACCUGACCGGCACAAAUCCUCGCAAUUGCGUAGUCUUCACCUGGAAGCUGCGGCAUCUCACUCUCUUGGGGUUGGGUGCCGCGCUUGCGCACCAGCACGAACAUGAAGUGCAGUUCAUUUUCUACUGCGUUUUGUAAUUCAGUUAAGUGACGCGAGAUCAAGACUACGAAGCGCGUCUUGGAGUUUUGGUUUUGUCCGCUAGUUGGGUUACAUGAAAGUUGAGAAUUCCACGAGGAUUGCGCGGUACGCUUCUUUACCUGCAACACCAGAGAUGCCCUGCACCGGAAAGACAAAAGAAAAAAAUAACAAUAAAAAUAAAAAUAAAAUUAAAAUCAGUGCGAGACUCGCAGCUGUGAUAUAUUGAUUCUCGAAGUUGUGUUUGGAAACCUCAGUUGCCUGUGCAUUCUCGAGAUUAUGAGAAGCUGGUAUUCUAGUGCUCGAGUGGUGAAGAAGAACACAGUUAAGGAUAGAUGUGCAAUCAGGAGCAUUUUCGAGGUCAACCCGGAGCAACUUGAAUGUGGAACAAACGAGUCUUCUUUUUGUUGCCUCCAAGUCGGAGUCCUUCGAUCAUUCCGGGUCGAGCAUGCAAGUCGAGAAAACAAGACUCGCUUCAGAUCUAUGGCAGUCAGGGCACAUGCAGGUGUUCAGUAAACUCACGCAAGCUUAGUUUACACAGGACCAUUCAUCAAGGAUUUCCGAAGACACAUGUCUGCUCCAAAGUCAGGGAGAAUGUUUUACUGAGGGCAUGGGGAGGCGAGCAUUUUAUGGAAGCGGUAUCAGCUGAAUCAGGUGCAGUGGUUAGAGACAGAGGAUCUUUUCACUGCCAUAAACUCAUGGAGACAAGUCUAUUUUAUUUUUCCAAAAGCAAACCAAAUUAGUUUCACUUCUUGUAGCUGUUGUCAUUGCGGUGAAGAUAACGUGUUUGAUGUGCUUUAAUAUAAUCUUUGCUUUCUUUCUGAUACUACAGUCCUCUCACGAAGGCCAGUGGCUUUUAGAAACAACCACGAAAAGUAAUGAAUGGUCAAAGCCUAAUUCCUCGCAGCCAGUGUUCAGAAGAAUUUAUUCAAUUAUUGAAACUAAGUUCAAACACUCUCUCA